GUCGAGAAUCUUUCACAAUGGGGGCAACCCUGAUGGAGCGACGCCGCGUGGAGGAUAAGGUCUUCGGAUUGUAAACUCCUGUCAUGCGUGAACAAGGUUGCUUGGUUAAUACCUGGGCAAAUUGAUGGUAACGCAAGAGGAAGAGACGGCUAACUCUGUGCCAGCAGCCGCGGUAAUACAGAGGUCUCAAGCGUUGUUCGGAAUCACUGGGCGUAAAGGGUGCGUAGGUGGCGUGGUAAGUCAGAUGUGAAAGCCCGGGGCUCAACCUCGGAACUGCAUCCGAUACUGCCAUGCUAGAGUACUGGAGAGGUGACUAGAAUUCUCGGUGUAGCAGUGAAAUGCGUAGAUAUCGAGAGGAAUACCAAAGGCGUAGGCAGGUCACUGGACAGUUACUGACACUGAGGCACGAAGGCCAGGGGAGCGAAUGGGAUUAGAAACCCCAGUAGUCC
rnacentral:rRNA from 1 species